GGUCUCUCCCUUACCACUCCACCACUAGCUCAUUGGCUUAAGCUAUUUGAAUUUGAUAAAAUCAAAAAAGUGUUUAGCUCUGUGUCAUAUUCUAACCAAGUAUUAAAUGAUUCAUCAAUAACAAUAAGUUUGAUUAAAAUCAGUUUUGUCCAACUACGAAAAUGAUCCCUCUGGGUCGGGCCAUCUAUAAGCCCUAGCUUCAAGCCCAAACGUUUGGGCCAUAUUUAAAAAAAUAUUAUAUUAGCCAUUACAAAAGGCCCACUGUCCCAUACACCGAGUGUGAUCAUAUCAUAUUACAAUUCUGGACUGUAUCAAAUUACGAUUCUGGAAUUUAUUUCGAUUAAAUCGAGGUUUGUGUUUCGAUCAAAACAAGGUAUGUUGGUUCAAAAUUCCAAACCUUCAAGACUUCACGUCUCAAGAGUUUAAGAAAGAACACUCGAAGAAUUGAUUCGGAUUAGAGUCGGGAGGCUAACCAGAUAGAAAGGUUAUGCAAGCAUGGGGAAUGGUAAAGUGAACCGCAAACACAAAAACAGCAGCCCUGAAUCUUGAUGAUUGUACAUGAAGCUGGAAUUAGAAUAUCUUUUACUGAGGAGUUUGAUCUUUAAUUGCAUCUGCUUCUUGAUUUCAAUUGAUAGGAACAUACUUUUAGAAAUCGCUGGUAGCAUGUACUGAAUGGUGCAUUCAAAGAGGCUGAGAAAUUUUAAUAUGCAUCAUCUAGAUACGAAGGUAAGGGAUACAACAAGAUAUCUGUUGGAAACAAUUUAUUUUCUAUCCCUAAUUACCUACAUCGAUUUUCCAGCCUUGGGAUUAUUAUUGAGUUUUAAAGUUAUUCCUGAACUCAAACAAAGUUUGAAUCAUGUAUCUCAACGGAUUGAAUUCCAGACCAAUAAUUUAUCUCAAGCGGACCUUGAUCAUAACAUUAACCAUAUGACAUGAGUUAUAAAUGUGGAGAUGCUCGAGGACCGGACAACUCUUCAUCAUUUCUCCUAUGGUUUCAUCAUUGAUGUUAACACACUUCAAGAUGAGAGUUUUUAGAAACUUUAUCUCCCUCACCAUAGUAGAGGGCAUGUCAGGAACAUUCAUAGAAUGUUGCCUAAAUGACAGCCUUGUUUUUUUAUUGAAGAUUUUGAUGGGAAAAACAAAGUUUCUCACAUGAUCACUGAAACCAUCUUCAUCCUCCAUUAAAUUAAGCUCAAGAUUUUGGACAUUCUUCGACAUGGCAAACUCUAUCCAUUUAGUUAUUGCACCCUUUGAUUGCUUGUCCAAAUUAAAGAAAAUUAGAAAUCUUCAAUCAUAGGGCUGUUGUGAUGACACAUCACCCUGUUAACCCAGUUGAUGUAUCGGUUCCUUCCUGGCAAGCGCAACUUUGGUUGCAGCAAUAUCUUUUCCCUUCUUUCAUUAUCUUCAAAAUCCAAAUGAACUGUUCGACGCCACAAGUGCCUCCAUCUUUUUUAAAGAUGACUGGUCGCUUUUUUGAUGGCCGAAUAUGACAGCAUGCGAAUGAUAAUGUCAUUUGACAUUGUGCUCACUACAUCUUUGGGAUUGUAGUCAUGUUGAUCUCCCUUGAAAAAAAUAUACACCAUUAAUAUGCUGAAAACAAACCCAUGAAGUGGUUGAACACCUAGUCAUUAUGUAUUAUGUUACCGUUAUGUGAUGUUGUUCUCAUAUGAAAUAUAAGCUGGUAUUUUCAAAUGGUGGGUAUUUGUUAAUGGAGAUCAACAUGACUAAAAUCCCGUAGAUGUGGUGAGUAGAAUGUCGGAUGACAUUAUCAAAUGCAUGUUCUUCAAUUUGACUUCAAGGAAGUAGAAGUCACCGGUCAUUUUUCAAAAAGAUGAAGGUACUUGUGGUGUCGAACAAUUCAUUUAUAUUUCAAAGAUACUGAAAGAAAGGAAAAGAUGGUGUUGCAACCAAAGUUGCACUUUCAAGCAAGGGGGCGAUGCAUCAAUUAGGGAGAUGUGUCACCACAACAGCCCUAUGAUUGAAUAUUUCGAAACUUCCUUUAAUUUGGACGAGCACUCGAAGGGUACGUGAUUAUCUGAGAAGUGACUUUUAGUGAUCAUUCAAAAUUUUUAUUUAACUUAAUUAGUGGGGGAUGAAGAGAAUUUUAGUGAUCAUUCGAGUAACUUUGUUUUCCCAUCACAAUCUGUAAUAAGAAAACAAGACUUUCAUUUAGGUUACAGUCUAUGAAUGUUCCUAGUGUGCCCUCGACUAUGGUCAUGGAGGUUAAGUUUCUUAAAGCUCUCAUCUUGAAGUGUGUUAAUGUCAAUGAUCAAACCAAUGGGGAAUUGAUGAAGAGUUCUUGAGCAUCUCCUCAUUUAUAACUCACGUCAUAUGGUUAAUGUUAUAAUCGAGGGCUAUCGCUUGCUCUAAGAAAGUUUGAGAUAAAUUAAUGUUUUAGACUUCAAUCAAUCGAGAUACUUGAUUCAAAUCUUGCUUGGGUUCAAGAAUAACUUUAAAACUCACUAAGAAUUCAAGGCUUGAAUCAAAUUUCAUUGGUGGAGGGUAUUCAUGGAUAAAAAAUGAUUUGUUGUAUCUUGUUUUAUUCCUUUCGUAAUCCUGAAUUGAACAUUUACCGUCCAAAGGCUACAGUGGAGGAAUUCUUGAUGUUAGUAAGAUCAUGGGGCGAUGAUAGUCUUCUUGGGUUGACGCAUAGGGCGAUGAUAGUCUUCUUGGUUGACUUGUUUGGUGAAAGCUUGCUGAAAUUUAAGUUUCAGGUACUUAAUCUUGCUCGUUUUAAUGAACAUAUUCAGUUGUGUCGGAUUUUUGUUUCGUCAUUUCGCUGAAUGGUGUGAGUGGAACGUGUGAUCUUAAUAGUAGUGGAAAAUAAGUUUGUUUAUCCUACUUUAGCGAAAACGAAUGUGCAUUAUAUGCGCCAUUAAUGAUGGAUCUCAGUGAGAUCCAAACAAGUUUUCUUACUGUAUAUAAACGAUACCUUCUUUUUUUUUGAA